AUCAACUUUCGAUGGUAGGAUAGAGGCCUACCAUGGUGGUAACGGGUAACGGGGUGUUAGGGCACGACACCGGAGAGGGAGCCUGAGAAACGGCUACCACAUCCAAGGAUGGCAGCAGGCGCGCAAAUUACCCAAUCCCGACACGGGGAGGUAGUGACAAUAAAUAACAAUACGGGGUUCUUUCGGAUCUCGUAAUUGGAAUGAGUACAAUUUAAAUCUCUUAACGAGGAACAAUUGGAGGGCAAGUCUGGUGCCAGCAGCCGCGGUAAUUCCAGCUCCAAUAGCGUAUAUUAAAGUUGCUGCAGUUAAAAAGCUCGUAGUUGAAUUUCGGGACCAAUAUGUCGGUCGUGCUUCGGUACGUACUGUCAUUAUUGGUUUCUCCCUUCUGAAGAACCUUGAUGUCAUUAAUUUGGUGUCUUGGGGAAUCAGGACUGUUACUUUGAAAAAAUUAGAGUGUUUAAAGCAGGCUCGCGCUUGAAUACAUUAGCAUGGAAUAAUGAAAUAGGACGUUUGAUUCUAUUUUGUUGGUUUCUAGGAUCGACGUAAUGAUUAAUAGGGAUAGUUGGGGGCAUUAGUAUUCAAUUGUCAGAGGUGAAAUUCUUGGAUUUAUUGAAGACUAACUACUGCGAAAGCAUUUGCCAAGGAUGUUUUCAUUAAUCAAGAACGAAAGUUAGGGGAUCGAAGACGAUCAGAUACCGUCGUAGUCUUAACCAUAGACUAUGCCGACUAGGGAUCGGAUGAUGUUAAUUUUUUAAUGACUCAUUCGGCGCCUUACGGGAAACCAAAGUGUUUGGGUUC
rnacentral:rRNA from 1 species